GGGUGAGUAACACGUGAGUAACCUGCCCCUGACUCUGGGAUAAGCCUGGGAAACUGGGUCUAAUACCGGAUACGACCAUUUCUCGCAUGGGAUGGUGGUGGAAAGUUUUUUCGGUUGGGGAUGGGCUCGCGGCCUAUCAGCUUGUUGGUGGGGUGAUGGCCUACCAAGGCGACGACGGGUAGCCGGCCUGAGAGGGCGACCGGCCACACUGGGACUGAGACACGGCCCAGACUCCUACGGGAGGCAGCAGUGGGGAAUAUUGCGCAAUGGGCGGAAGCCUGACGCAGCGACGCCGCGUGGGGGAUGACGGCCUUCGGGUUGUAAACCUCUUUCAGCAGGGACGAAGUUGACGUGUACCUGUAGAAGAAGCGCCGGCUAACUACGUGCCAGCAGCCGCGGUAAUACGUAGGGCGCAAGCGUUGUCCGGAAUUAUUGGGCGUAAAGAGCUCGUAGGUGGCUUGUCGCGUCUGCCGUGAAAGCCCGUGGCUUAACUACGGGUCUGCGGUGGAUACGGGCAGGCUAGAGGCUGGUAGGGGCAAGCGGAAUUCCUGGUGUAGCGGUGAAAUGCGCAGAUAUCAGGAGGAACACCGGUGGCGAAGGCGGCUUGCUGGGCCAGUUCUGACGCU
rnacentral:rRNA from 1 species